AAGGGCUCGCAGGCGGUUUCUUAAGUCUGAUGUGAAAGCCCCCGGCUCAACCGGGGAGGGUCAUUGGAAACUGGGGAACUUGAGUGCAGAAGAGGAGAGUGGAAUUCCACGUGUAGCGGUGAAAUGCGUAGAGAUGUGGAGGAACACCAGUGGCGAAGGCGACUCUCUGGUCUGUAACUGACGCUGAGGAGCGAAAGCGUGGGGAGCGAACAGGAUUAGAUACCCUGGUAGUCCACGCCGUAAACGAUGAGUGCUAAGUGUUAGGGGGUUUCCGCCCCUUAGUGCUGCAGCUAACGCAUUAAGCACUCCGCCUGGGGAGUACGGUCGCAAGACUGAAACUCAAAGGAAUUGACGGGGGCCCGCACAAGCGGUGGAGCAUGUGGUUUAAUUCGAAGCAACGCGAAGAACCUUACCAGGUCUUGACAUCCUCUGACAAUCCUAGAGAUAGGACGUCCCCUUCGGGGGCAGAGUGACNGGUGGUGCAUGGUUGUCGUCAGCUCGUGUCGUGAGAUGUUGGGUUAAGUCCCGCAACGAGCGCAACCCUUGAUCUUAGUUGCCAGCAUUCAGUUGGGCACUCUAAGGUGACUGCCGGUGACAAACCGGANGAAGGUGGGGAUGACGUCAAAUCAUCAUGCCCCUUAUGACCUGGGCUACACACGUGCUACAAUGGACANNNNAAAGGGCAGCGAAACCGCGAGGUUAAGCCAAUCCCACAAAAUCUGUUCUCAGUUCGGAUCGCAGUCUGCNACUCGACUGCGUGAAGCUGGAAUCGCCUAG
rnacentral:rRNA from 1 species